AUGAACGCUGGCGGCGUGCCUAAUACAUGCAAGUCGAGCGCACGGACGAGAAGCUUGCUUCUCUGAUGUUAGCGGCGGACGGGUGAGUAACACGUGGAUAACCUACCUAUAAGACUGGGAUAACUUCGGGAAACCGGAGCUAAUACCGGAUAAUAUUUUGAACCGCAUGGUUCAAAAGUGAAAGACGGUCUUGCUGUCACCUAUAGAUGGAUCCGCGCUGCAUUAGCUAGUUGGUAAGGUAACGGCUUACCAAGGCAACGAUGCAUAGCCGACCUGAGAGGGUGAUCGGCCACACUGGAACUGAGACACGGUCCAGACUCCUACGGGAGGCAGCAGUAGGGAAUCUUCCGCAAUGGGCGAAAGCCUGACGGAGCAACGCCGCGUGAGUGAUGAAGGUCUUCGGAUCGUAAAACUCUGUUAUUAGGGAAGAACAUAUGUGUAAGUAACUGUGCACAUCUUGACGGUACCUAAUCAGAAAGCCACGGCUAACUACGUG
rnacentral:rRNA from 1 species